CACGUAGGGUGCGAGCGUUGUCCGGAAUUAUUGGGCGUAAAGAGCUCGUAGGCGGCCUGUCGCGUCGGCUGUGAAAACCCGGGGCUCAACCCCGGGCCUGCAGUCGAUACGGGCAGGCUAGAGUCCGGUAGGGGAGACUGGAAUUCCUGGUGUAGCGGUGAAAUGCGCAGAUAUCAGGAGGAACACCGGUGGCGAAGGCGGGUCUCUGGGCCAUAACUGACGCUGAGAAGCGAAAGCAUGGGGAGCGAACAGG
rnacentral:rRNA from 1 species